rnacentral:rRNA from 1 species
AUUGAACGCUGGCGGCAGGCCUAACACAUGCAAGUCGAGCGAGCGGCGCACGGGUGAGUAACGCGUAUCCAACCUUCCCAUUACUGUGGGAUAACCUGCCGAAAGGCAGACUAAUACCGCAUAGUAAUGGAUGGGGAUGCGUCUGAUUAGCUUGUUGGCGGGGUAACGGCCCACCAAGGCGACGAUCAGUAGGGGUUCUGAGAGGAAGGUCCCCCACAUUGGAACUGAGACACGGUCCAAACUCCUACGGGAGGCAGCAGUGAGGAAUAUUGCACAAUGGGCGCAAGCCUGAUGCAGCCAUGCCGCGUGUAUGAAGAAGGCCUAGGGUUGUAAAGUACUUUCAGUCGGGAGGCGUUACCGACAGAAGAAGCACCGGCUAACUACGUGCCAGCAGCCGCGGUAAUUC